GGGCAGUACAUGGACAUAUGUC
rnacentral:siRNA from 1 species